GGGGGCGCCUGAUUGUGACGUCACGGAAGGGGAGGGGCCUGGCGCGGCGCGCGCGGCGCCCAGUGAUGACGUCAAGGAUCGAGGGGCGGGGGGGCGGGGCUUCCGGGGAGGCGGGGCCAGCGCUCCCAGUAUGGCCCAGUGCUCCCAGUAUGUCCCAGUAACUCCCAGUGCUCCCAGUAUGCCCAGUGUCCCCAAGCGGCCCCCCAGUAUCCCUCAGUGCCCCAGUACCUCCCAGUGCUUCCAGUUCCACUACUGCCACCCAGUAUCCCCAGUGCCCCCAGUGCUCCCAGUGCCUCCCCCCAGUAUCCCCCAGUUCCUCCAGUACCCCCAGUAUCCUGCAGAACCCCCGGUGUCCCUGUGCUCCCAGUAUCCCCAGUAUCUGCAGUGUCCCCAGUAUCUGCAGUGUCCCCAGUAUCCCCCAGUCCCCCCAGUAUUCCCAGUACCACCAGCGCCUCCCAGUGGCCCAGUGCUCCCAGUACCUCCAGUGCCUCCACUAUCCCCGGUGCCCGCAGUCCCCUCCCAGUCCCCCCAGUAUUCCCAGUACCACCAGUGCCCCCCAGUGGCCCAGUGCUCCCAGUACCUCCACUAUCCCCAGCACCCCAGUACCCCGCCCAGCCCCCCAGUAUUCCCAGUACCCUCCAGUGCCCCCGGUACUCCCCAGUAUCCCCAGUACCCCCAGUAGUGUCCCCCAGUAACCCCGCGUACCCUCCAGUGCCCUUGGUACUCCCCAUUCCCCCCCAGUAUCCCCAGUAUUCCCAGUACCACCAGUGCUCCCAGUAAUCCCAGUACCUCCACUAUUCCCAGNNNNNNNNNNNNNNNNNCCCAGUAUCCCCAGUGCCCCCAGUGCUCCCAGUGCCUCCCCCCAGUAUCCCCCAGUUCCUCCAGUACCCCCAGUAUCCUGCAGAACCCCCGGUGUCCCUGUGCUCCCAGUAUCCCCAGUAUCUGCAGUGUCCCCAGUAUCUGCAGUGUCCCCAGUAUCCCCCAGUCCCCCCAGUAUUCCCAGUACCACCAGCGCCUCCCAGUGGCCCAGUGCUCCCAGUACCUCCAGUGCCUCCACUAUCCCCGGUGCCCGCAGUCCCCUCCCAGUCCCCCCAGUAUUCCCAGUACCACCAGCGCCUCCCAGUGGCCCAGUGCUCCCAGUACCUCCACUAUCCCCAGCACCCCAGUACCCCGCCCAGCCCCCCAGUAUUCCCAGUACCCUCCAGUGCCCCCGGUACUCCCCAGUAUCCCCAGUACCCCCAGUAGUGUCCCCCAGUAACCCCGCGUACCCUCCAGUGCCCUUGGUACUCCCCAUUCCCCCCCAGUAUCCCCAGUAUUCCCAGUACCACCAGUGCUCCCAGUAAUCCCAGUA
rnacentral:lncRNA from 1 species